CCUGCUUACAGUUCGUCAUGUGUCUGUGUGUGUACAUGCAUGUGCGUCUGUGGUAGUGUGCAGUGCGCGUGUGCAAGUGUUUCUUGCACAUGUGUGGCCGUGUGCGUGUGUGUGUGGAGGUGUGUGUGCAUGUGUCUGGUGUUCGUGUGGGCUUGUGCAUGUGUGGUGUGCGUGUGUAUGUGUGGGUGGGUAUGUGCCCAUGUGUGGAGGUGUGCGUGCACACGCGUGUAGAUGGGCGUGUACAUGUGUGGAGGCAUGUGUAUGUGUGGUGUGCGUGUACGUGUGUGGACGUGUGAGUGCACAUGUGUGUAGAUGGGCGUGUACAUGUGUGGAGGCUUGUGUGUGCACAUGUGGGUGUGGGUGUGCACGUAUGUGGAGGUCUGCGUGUGCCCGUGUGUGAUGUGUGUGCACGUGUAUAGGCAUGUGUGUGGGUGUGUACAUGCAUGUAGGUGUGCAUGUGUGUGCAUGUACAUGUGUAGAGGUGUGCGUUGCACUGUGUGUAGAUGGGCGCGUACAUGUGUGGGGGCAUGCACGUGUGUGUGUGUACAUGUGUGGAGGUGUGCGUGUGUACAUGUGGGUGUGCGUGUGCUCGUGUGGAGGUGUGUGCACGUGUGUAGGCAUGUGUGUGGGUGUGUACAUGUAUGUAGUCGUGCACAUGUGUGUGUACAUGUGUGGAGGUGUCCGUGUGCACGUGUGUGGUGGGCGUGUACACGUGUGUAGGCCUGUGUGUGGGCGUGUACAUGUGCCGAGGCAUGCACGCAUGUGCGUGUCCAUGUGUGGAGGUGUGCGUGUGUAUGUGUGUGUGCGUGUGCACGUGUGUGGAGGUGUGUGCACAUGUGUAGGUGUGUGUGUGGGUAUGUACAUAUGCGGAGGAGUGCACGUGUGUAUACUUGUGUGGAUGUGUGCAUGUGCACGUGUGUAGGCAUGUGUGUGGGUGUGUACAUGUGUGUAGGCGUGUACGUGUGUGUCCAUGUGUGGAGGUGGGCGUGUGCACGUGUGUGGGCCUGUGUGUGGGAGUGUACACGUGCGGAGGCAUGCACGUGUGUGUGCUUGUGCGUGCAUACAUCGGUUCGUGUGUGCACAUGCAUGAAUAUGAGUGGAAGCUCACAUCUGUUGCAUAUGUGUGCAUGGGCACGUACCCCGACCCCUGACACGGAACCUGUACCCCCGUGUGUCUCCACCGCGGCCUGCCCCCCCUCACCAUGUCGUGUGGCGUGCACACCUGCUCCCCCUGUGGCUGUCCCUGCCUCCCUGGGAGCGGGAGGCUCCCCGCGAUGGGGGCCGGUCAUGCGCUGUGCUUGGACCCGCGAGCCCAGCGCCCGGGGCUGGACGCGCCUCGGAACACACUCAUGACUGUGUGCCCUUCCCCUUCC